rnacentral:rRNA from 1 species
UACGUAGGGGGCAAGCGUUGUCCGGAUUUAUUGGGCGUAAAGAGCGUGUAGGCGGCCAGACAGGUCUGCUGUGAAAACUCGAGGCUCAACCUCGAGAUGUCGGCGGAAACCGUCUGGCUAGAGUCCGGAAGAGGAGAGUGGAAUUCCUGGUGUAGCGGUGAAAUGCGCAGAUAUCAGGAAGAACACCUAUGGCGAAGGCGCUCUGCUAGGCCGUAACUGACACUGAGGGACGAAAGCUAGGGGAGCGAAUGGG